rnacentral:rRNA from 1 species
UACGCAGGUCCCGAGCGUUGUCCGGAUUUAUUGGGCGUAAAGCGAGCGCAGGUGGUUUAUUAAGUCUGGUGUAAAAGGCAGUGGCUCAACCAUUGUAUGCAUUGGAAACUGGUAGACUCGAGUGCAGGAGAGGAGAGUGGAAUUCCAUGUGUAGCGGUGAAAUGCGUAGAUAUAUGGAGGAACACCGGUGGCGAAAGCGGCUCCCUGGCCUGUAACUGACACUGAGGCUCGAAAGCGUGGGGAGCAAACAGG